UUUGCGGGCAAAUUUGUCCAUCUUCAGCACUAUCUCUCCAGUGAGCUAGAUGGAAGACUUGUUACAUUCUGCUCCUUGACGCCGGUGAAAGUAUGAAGUUCUGCUCGUAUUAACCCGACAUUGGACGGCGCAAUUGGAUAUAGAUCCUGACUCGAACCUUGCUUGUUUGGAGACGUUUGAGAAGGAGAAGUUUGAACACCGAGUUUUUCCUCCUUUUCCUUUGAGUACCUACAUGUUUAUUAACGUCACAUUUACCAACCGACGAGGAGUGAAACAACGACGAAAACUGAAGUGGAGUCGAGGCAUGUGAGUUGUACUGACAUCCAUUUGCCUCCUUACUCAAGAAUCUGUUCUGCUCUGAUACUACGUCCAAAGGUGGAAAACUGUUCGUCAUGUUAACUGAAGGCGUCACUUCCUGUGCAUGAAGCUCUGCAGCAUGUCGAUGGGAAGCGGGAAGACGAUUGUGGAGUUUUUCUCAGCUGCGAUGCUGUUCAGCGUCUGCAGGUAUCGUAGCUGCAGGGCGGACGGCGACUCGGCGAUGACCAGCGAGGCUUCCUUCAGGGCCCUGGAUGCCUUCAUCUCGCCCUCGGCAGAGAUGAUCUGACACAUGAAAGACACGUCAGCGUUUCUCUUUUGUCGUGUGGAAUUGAUGUUACAAAAAAUAAAAGGAAGGAAGGCGUUCCCAUUCCCCACCUUGGCCCUCGCCUCCCGACUGGCCUCCGCCUCCGCCGCCAUGGCUCUCUGCAACUGCUGAGGUAACUUCACGUCUUUGAUCUCCACGCGCUCCACCUUUAUGCCCCACGCAUUGGUGGCCUCGUCCAGGGAUUCCUGCACAUACAGUCGCAAUAAUAGUUCAUUUUUCUCUUCAAUACCAACACAUCAUCAGCAACAACAGGGAUUUUUUUUUUCCUAUUUCUUCAUAUCAAAAUGUUGUCAAAUGAAAAGCCUGUACCUUCAAUAUAUACAGUGGUGUGAAAUGGUGUUUGUCCCCUUACAUUGUACAUUGAAACAAUGCAGUAUCAUUGCAGUACCAACAACUGCAAUCAAGCGUUAACUUGCAAUGAGUGAACAAAUGAACUCUUACAGUGCUGUGGAGGAAUUUUGCAGAAUUGUUGUCAUUCAGCCACAUUGGAGGCUUUUCCAGCAUGAAGCGCCUUUUUAAGGUCAUGCCACAGCAUCUCAACAGGAUUCAGGUCAGGACUUUGACUAGGCCACUCCAAAGUCUUCAUUGUGUGUUUCUUCAGCCAUUCAGAGGUGGACUUGCUGGUGUGUUUUGGAUCAUUGUCCUGCUGCAGAACCCGAGUUGGUUUCAGCUUGAGGUCACCAACAGAUGGCCGGACAUUCUCCUUCACGAUUUUUUGGUAGACAGCAAAAUUGAUGGUUACAUUUAUCACAGCAAGUCUUCCAUGUCCUGAAGCUGCACAACAGCCCCAGACCAUCACACUACCACCACCAUAUUUUACUGCUGGUAUGAUGUUCUUUUUCUGGAAUGUGGCAUUACUUUUAUUCCAGAUGUAAUGGGACACACACCUUUCAAAAGGUUCAACUUUUGUCUCAUCAGACCACUUUUGGCUCAUCAGAGUAUUUUCCCAAAGGUCUUGGAAUCAUCAAGAUGUUUUCUGGCAAAAUUGAGAUGAGCAUGAAUGUUCUUUUUUUUCGGCAGUGGUUUUUGGAACUCAGGCCGUUUUUGCCCAGUGUCUUUCUUAUGGUGGAGUCAUGAACACUGACCUUAACUGAGGCAAGUGAGCCCCACAGUUCUUUGCAUGUUGUUGUGGGGUCUUUUGCGACCUCUUGGAUGAGUCGUUGCUGCGCUCUUGGGGUCAUUUUGUUUGGCCGCCCCCUCCUGGGAAGGUUCACCACUGUUUCAUAUUUUUCGCCAUUUGUGGAUAAUGGCUCUCACUGUAGUUCACUGGAGUCCCAAAGCUUUAGAAAUGGCUUUAUAACCUUUUCCAGACUGAUAGAUCUCAAUUAAUCUCAGUUAAAUUAUGUUUUAAUAGGGGGGGCAAUCCAAUUUUCA